AUUGAACGCUGGCGGCAUGCCUUACACAUGCAAGUCGAACGGCAGCACGGGAGCAAUCCUGGUGGCGAGUGGCGAACGGGUGAGUAAUGUAUCGGAACGUGCCCAGUCGUGGGGUUAACGCAGCGAAAGCUACGCUAAUACCGCAUACGAUCUAUGGAUGAAAGCGGGGGAUCGCAAGACCUCGCGCGAUUGGAGCGGCCGAUAUCAGAUUAGGUAGUUGGUGGGGUAAAGGCCCACCAAGCCUGCGAUCUGUAGCUGGUCUGAGAGGACGACCAGCCGCACUGGAACUGAGACACGGUCCAGACUCCUACGGGAGGCAGCAGUGGGGAAUUUUGGACAAUGGGCGCAAGCCUGAUCCAGCAAUGCCGCGUGCAGGAUGAAGGCCUUCGGGUUGUAAACUGCUUUUGUACGGAGCGAAAAGGCUCUCUCUAAUACAGGGGGCUCAUGACGGUACCGUAAGAAUAAGCACCGGCUAACUACGUGCCAGCAGCCGCGGUAACAC
rnacentral:rRNA from 1 species